rnacentral:rRNA from 1 species
AUUGAACGCUGGCGGCAUGCCUUACACAUGCAAGUCGAACGGUAACAGGUCUUCGGAUGCUGACGAGUGGCGAACGGGUGCGUAAUACAUCGGAACGUGCCCAGACGUGGGGGAUAACGAGGCGAAAGCUUUGCUAAUACCGCAUACGAUCUAAGGAUGAAAGCAGGGGACCGCAAGGCCUUGCGCGUUUGGAGCGGCCGAUGGCAGAUUAGGUAGUUGGUGGGAUAAAAGCUUACCAAGCCGACGAUCUGUAGCUGGUCUGAGAGGACGACCAGCCACACUGGGACUGAGACACGGCCCAGACUCCUACGGGAGGCAGCAGUGGGGAAUUUUGGACAAUGGGCGAAAGCCUGAUCCAGCAAUGCCGCGUGCAGGAUGAAGGCCUUCGGGUUGUAAACUGCUUUUGUACGGAAAGAAAAGGCUCUGGCUAAUACCUGGGGCACAUGACGGUACCGUAAGAAUAAGCACCGGCUAACUACGUG